AUCCUGUUAAUAAUUGUCAUAUGGUUAUACGUCAAAGAAGAAAGGAAAGGCUGUAAUUCAACAUAAGCCUAUUGCAUCCAUAAAAUGCCUAGUCUAAAUUAGGAAAAACCAUACCAUAACUUUGUCUCCCACCUGAUAAAAUUGGUACUUUUGCCCAUCCUGCCAAUACUGCCACUCAUGAGUGUAUGUAUGUAGUGAAGCAUUCUAGUGCUCUUUUAGUUAUCAUAUUGUGUAUGCAUUUCAGGAGAGGCACUAAGUGCAGACAAAUGGAUGAUGUCUUUGGAAGGGACAACUGUGAUGGGGCCCCACAACAACCUUCUGAAUGGAGUGCAGCGACCUUCGCUGUCUACGUGUUUAACUAACAGUAUCCUAAAGAGGCCUCAAGCACUAAAGAGCUUUUUGUGGAAUCAACUCCAAGAUGUCAGCAAAGCAGAGAAGAGACAUGGGCUCAACGCACCUGUCUGCACCCUAUUAAGAAGACUCCUGGGCUUUGAGUUGAUGGGCUAGUAUUGAUUCCCACCCACACCCCACAGCUUCCCCAGUUCAAGACUGGUUGGGACCUUUUGUUAUUUAUUACCAUGUUCCCCCUGAUGAUAGACUGUCUGGACGUCUGGAAGUGAGCUAGAUUCUUCAGUGAAACUGUAAUUUUGUUUGUAUGAAAAAAAUAAAAUAAGUUUGUAUUAUGUGAUGUUGCAUAGUG
rnacentral:lncRNA from 1 species